GGCAUGCCUAAGACAUGCAAGUCGAACGAACAAAUCAGUGCUUGCACUGAUGCGUUAGUGGCGAACGGGUGAGUAACACGUAGGUAACCUACCUUAAAGACGGGGACAACAGUUGGAAACGACUGCUAAUACCGGAUAGGGUAAUGAAUUCGCAUGAAUUCAUUAUUAAAGGAGCUCUCGGGCUUCACUUUAAGAUGGACCUGCGCCGUAUUAGCUAGUUGGUGAGGUAAUGGCUCACCAAGGCAACGAUGCGUAGCCGAGCUGAGAGGCUGAUCGGCCACACUGGAACUGAGACACGGUCCAGACUCCUACGGGAGGCAGCAGUUAGGAAUAUUGGGCAAUGGACGAAAGUCUGACCCAGCAAUGCCGCGUGUGUGAAGAAGGCCUUCGGGUUGUAAAGCACUGUUGUGAAGGAAGAAAAGUAUGUAUAGGAAAUGAUACAUAUGUGACGGUACUUCACCAGAAAGCCACGGCUAACUACGUG
rnacentral:rRNA from 1 species